rnacentral:rRNA from 1 species
GAUGAACGCUGGCGGCGUGCCUAAUACAUGCAAGUCGAGCGAACGGACGAGAAGCUUGCUUCUCUGAUGUUAGCGGCGGACGGGUGAGUAACACGUGGAUAACCUACCUAUAAGACUGGGAUAACUUCGGGAAACCGGAGCUAAUACCGGAUAAUAUUUUGAACCGCAUGGUUCAAAAGUGAAAGACGGUCUUGCUGUCACUUAUAGAUGGAUCCGCGCUGCAUUAGCUAGUUGGUAAGGUAACGGCUUACCAAGGCAACGAUGCAUAGCCGACCUGAGAGGGGGAUCGGCCACACUGGAACUGAGACACGGUCCAGACUCCUACGGGAGGCAGCAGUAGGGAAUCUUCCGCAAGGGGCGAAAGCCUGACGGAGCAACGCCGCGUGAGUGAUGAAGGUCUUCGGAUCGUAAAACUCUGUUAUUAGGGAAGAACAUAUGUGUAAGUAACUGUGCACAUCUUGACGGUACCUAAUCAGAAAGCCACGGCUAACUACGUG